rnacentral:rRNA from 1 species
UAGGGAAUCUUCGGCAAUGGGGGCAACCCUGACCGAGCAACGCCGCGUGAGUGAAGAAGGUUUUUCGGAUCGUAAAGCUCUGUUGUAAGAGAAGAACGUGUGUGAGAGUGGAAAGUUCACACAGUGACGGUAACUUACCAGAAAGGGACGGCUAACUACGUGCCGG